rnacentral:lncRNA from 1 species
UUUCAACCUUUUGAUGUUUUGGCAAAAAUUAAGGGUUUCUAACAUUGACUUUUGGGCCAAAAUUAAGGGUUUAUAACAUUGAAAAUUGAGAAAACCAUGUCCUUGUGCUAGUUCAUUUCUUUGUAUGAUUUAUUCAUGAUUAACCAAAAUUCUAGAAAUAAAAAAAUAUUCAAAUAUUAAAUCCUUUUUGUUGGGGCCACGGUUUUUUAAUUUGUUGGUUUACGGAUUUUUCUCAUAAAAAAGUCGGGUCGGUCGGUCGGAAAAAAAAAAGAAAAAAAAAAUAUCUUUCAAAACAGAAAAAUAUGCAAAAUAAAUAUAUAUAUUUCACCUUACUUAACAAAAUGUGUCUUAUUUGCUGUUUUGUCAUCAUUUCUUAACAUUUAUUUCGAUGAAAUAUUAUUGAUCAGUGAUCAUGAACAUCGCAUGACAUCGUUUAAUAACUUCCUGUAAAAAAAGGGGGGUUGCACGGACAAAGACGAAAUUAAAUCGUCAUUUCACAAACAAGAAAA